AAUUGCUGAGGAAACGGGUCCCCGACUCAAAACCAUUUCCACCGUAAAAUUUUUUUUGAGAUUUAACCUAGUCCAUUGAUGAAAUCUCUGCAUUAAAACAUAUAGAAGAGUUUGUCUCGUAGACCUUGAUUGCACUCAGACUUUCCCACUCCCUGAAUCUCCUCUCAUCCCUUGUCUCAGACCUCGAUAAGGCGCCCAUCUUCAUACAUCGACUCUCCGUACUUUCUCAUUCUCCCCCUUACCCCUACUCGACUCGACUCCCUGAGACUCAUAGUGACUGAGUCGACCUCGACUGUGUCGACAUCACAUCAGCUAGCUACCAUCACCAUCGUGGCAUUGUCUCCUAACCCUCAUUUGGUCAUUCCAAUCGCGAGUUCUGGCCACCACCACACCAUCCUUACCGUUGAGAACACCAGCAUCAUCCUACAAAUCCCUAGGUAAUUUAUGAAUUAGGGUUUCUGAUUUAGAAAUUUAGGGUUUUUGCAUAAGCUUUUCAAUUGAUUUAGGAAUUAUGUGGGUUUUUGAUUUGGGAAUUUAGGUUUUUUUGGGCUUUGAUUGCAUAAGCUUUUCGAUUCAUUAUAUGGACUGCUGUGAUUUGAUUACUUGCUGAAACUUUUCGAUUGCUUUUGAAUUUUAUGGAUCUGCUUAUAGAUUGUAGAUUUUAAGUUGUUUGGUAUUUAAAUUUGUUACAAUUUUUUUAAGAUAUUGAUUUUUGAAAUAAAAUUGGUAAUUGAAGCUACAAUCUUGAUGCUUGUAAGUGAAAGCAAUAGUGAAGAUUAUUUGAUAUCCAUUAGUGGUUUUGAUUUUCAACCCCGAAUCAGAACUGACUAGAUUAUUGAACAAAGCCAAUAAUGAAAAGUUUGUUGGCUUUCUUUAUGUUUAUGAAAUUUGUUAUACUAAUCAUGUAAUAUAUUUCAUGCAAUUACGGAUUAUGUAAUAUGCUUCCAAUCUCUCAUUUCUAAUGAUCUCAUAUGUUUCUUCCUCAAUUGUAGUUAGAGAGAGGUCACAAGGGAGGGUAUCGUCCUUCUACCAUAAAUAACCAGAAUAUUGGAAGUCAUUUCGGAUGUUAAUUUGGAUGUUAUUAUGGAUUUCAUUUUACGUUAAUUUGAUCUUUGGACUUUGGAUGUCUCAUAUGCUAUUUUUUGUUGUUUUGGAUGUUAUUACGGACCUUGAACUUCGUGUUUAUUACAGAUUUCAUUUAUAUGUUAUUUUCAUGUUCGGACCUUCAACUUUCGAUGUUAUUUAGAUUUUUGAUGUUAUUUGAAGUUUUGGAUCUUAGAAUCAGUAGGCUUUGUACUCGG
rnacentral:lncRNA from 1 species